GAUGAAGAACGUAGCGAAAUGCGAUAAGUAGUGUGAAUUGCAGAAUUCAGUGAAUCAUCGAAUCUUUGAACGCACAUUGCGCCCGCUGGUAUUCCGGCGGGCAUGCCUGUUCGAGCGUCAUUUCAACCCUCAAGCCCCCAGGUUUGGUGUUGGGGAUCGGCUCUGCCCUUCUGGGCGGUGCCGCCCCCGAAAUACAUUGGCGGUCUCGCUGCAGCCUCCAUUGCGUAGUAGCUAACACCUCGCAACUGGAACGCGGCGCGGCCAUGCCGUAAAACCCCAACUUCUGAAUGUUGACCUCGGAUCAGGUAGGAAUACCCGCUGAACUUAAGCAUAUCAAUAAGCGGAGGA
rnacentral:misc_RNA from 1 species